rnacentral:rRNA from 1 species
UACGUAGGGGGCAAGCGUUGUCCGGAUUUAUUGGGCGUAAAGAGCGUGUAGGCGGCUUUACAGGUCCGUUGUGAAAACUCGAGGCUCAACCUCGAGACGCCGGUGGAAACCGUCUGGCUAGAGUCCGGAAGAGGAGAGUGGAAUUCCUGGUGUAGCGGUGAAAUGCGCAGAUAUCAGGAAGAACACCCGUGGCUAAGGCGGCUCUCUAGUACGGUACUGACGCUGAGACGCGAAAGCGUGGGGAGCGAACAGG